rnacentral:rRNA from 1 species
UUGGCUACCUUAAAGCAGGGCAAUAAAUACCCUAUAACAAAAAAAGAUAUUUCGCUUUAAGAUGACAAUAAAUAUUUCGGUAAAGUAGUAGUUAAGGUAAUGGCUUAACUAGCUUAAAUACCGUAGUCGAGGCUGAGAGGUCGAUCGAUCACAUUGGGUCUGAAAAAACCCCAAUACGUAUAGUACAGCAGUGGGGAAUAUUGGUCAAUGGCCUAACGGCUGAACCAGCAACUUGGGGGAAUGUAUAGCUUUUGCUAACGUAUCUGAAUGGAUUAAUUCUAUUAAUUAACAGAUAUAGAAUCGACUAUGUCGAAUAAAGUUCUAGAUAGAAAAUGAAGAUUAUGACAGUAUUCUAUCUAUAUGUCUUGACCAAAAUACGUGCCAGCAGUCGCGGUAAUACGUAGAAGACUAGUGUUAUUCAUCUUUAUUAGGUUUAAAGGGUACCUAGACGGUUUAACUAGUCCAAAACAGGAUACGGUUAUACUAGAGUUAUAUUUGAAAAGGGGAGUAUUUAUAGAGUAGAGUUGAAAUUUGAAGAUCCUAUAAGGACUGAUAACGGCGAAAGCAACCUUUUAUGUAAUAACUGACGUUGAGGGACGAAGGCUCGGGUAACAAAUAGGAUUAGAUACCCUAGUAGUCCAAGCAGAAAAUUAUGAAUGUCAUAGAUUAGAUAUAUUUGAUCUAUAAAUGAAAGUGUAAGCAUUCCACCUCAAGAGUAAUGCGGCAACGCAGGAACUGAAAUCAUUAGGCCGUUUCUGAAACCAGUAGUGAAGUAUGUUAUUUAAUUCGUAGUUACGCGAAAAACCUUACCACAAUUUGAAUAUUAUCUUUAUAAUCUCUUAAAUAAGGAGAAGUACAUUAUAUAUUACAAGCGUUGCACGGCUGUCUUCAGUUAAUGUCGUGAGAUAUUGGUUAAUUCCAUUAAAUUAACGGAAACCCUUGCUUUAUUUACUAAAUAUAUAAAUAAAGCAGAACACCU